rnacentral:rRNA from 1 species
AUUGAACGCUGGCGGCAUGCCUUACACAUGCAAGUCGAACGGCAGCACGGACUUCGGUCUGGUUGCGAGUGGCGAACGGGUGAGUAAUGUAUCGGAACGUACCUUUCAGUGGGGGAUAACGUAGCGAAAGUUACGCUAAUACCGCAUAUUCUGUGAGCAGGAAAGCAGGGGAUCGAAAGACCUUGCGCUGAUUGAGCGGCCGAUAUCAGAUUAGCUAGUUGGUGGGGUAAAGGCCUACCAAGGCGACGAUCUGUAGCGGGUCUGAGAGGAUGAUCCGCCACACUGGAACUGAGACACGGUCCAGACUCCUACGGGAGGCAGCAGUGGGGAAUUUUGGACAAUGGGGGCAACCCUGAUCCAGCCAUGCCGCGUGAGUGAAGAAGGCCUUCGGGUUGUAAAGCUCUUUCGGCCGGGAAGAAAUCGCAUAGGCUAAUACCCUGUGUGGAUGACGGUACCGGAAGAAGAAGCACCGGCUAACUACGUG